UCCUUGUACACCUCAGCACAAUGAUGUAUUUGUGAGGAGCAAUGGCGCUGUAUGAGAUAUGGUCCAGUCUAUCAUGAACAUCACCAAUUUAACUAUUGUUUCUUUAAAAUAAGAUUUAAUUUUUGAAAUUUAAAUAAGCUUCCCUCUAAAGUUGGUUUCAUCACAUUAUAUGAGAUAUAAUAUGGUGGACAAGUUAGAGGAU
rnacentral:lncRNA from 1 species